rnacentral:tRNA from 1 species
GCCACCGUAGCUCAGCUGGUAGAGCAACUGAUUUGUAAUCAGUUGGUCGCGGGUUCGACUCCUGCUGGUGGCUCGA